UAUGGCGGUUUCCAACAAACCUACACCCUUCAGUACUGUACAUACGAAAAAGAAGAUCCGGGUCAGAAAGUGUGUUACCACAAAGCAGACAUAAAUAGUACAACUUAUACUAUAAGGAAUCUAAAGCCAUACACCCGUUACGAAAUUAUUUUGUGGUCUGCUAACAGAGCGGGAAACAGUAGUCAAAGGAAGAUCGUGUCUUCGACAGCACCAUUAACACCAAGACACUAUGGAGUAUAUAUCACUCGGAAAACAUCGGAGGGGAUUUUGACCAUUUCGAA